rnacentral:ribozyme from 13 species
GAAAGAAAGAAGAAAGAGAAAAAGAAAAAGAGAAAGAAAAACCUGCUGUGUAUGUGAUCGCUUAUCAUUUUUGUCAAAGUAGUAAUAUCCCUUCUCUUUCGCC